AACGAACGCUGGCGGCAUGCCUAACACAUGCAAGUCGAACGAGACCUUCGGGUCUAGUGGCGCUCGUGUGCGUAACGCGUGGGAACCUGCCCUUAGGUUCGGAAUAACUCCCCGAAAGGGGUGCUAAUACCGGAGAAUCUCUUCGGACCAAAGAUUUAUCGCUUUUGGAUGGGCCCGCGUUGGAUUCGCUAGUUGGUAGGGUAAAAGCCUACCAUGGCGACGAUCCAUAGCUGGUGUGUGAGGAUGAUCAGCCACACUGGGGCUGAGGCACGGCCCAGAAUCGUACGGGGGGGAGCAGUGGGGAAUACUAGACGAUGGACGAAAGCCUGAUCCAGCCACGCCGCGUGAGUGAUGAAGGCCGUAGGGUUGUAAAGCCCUUUUACACGGGAUGAUAAUGACAGUACCGGGAGAAUAAGCUCCGGCUAACUACGUG
rnacentral:rRNA from 1 species